rnacentral:ncRNA from 1 species
UGAUUCUAUGCAAGGAAAGGUGACACCUUUGUCUUAAAAGGGAAUCCGGUGAAAAACCGGAACUGUCCCCGCAACUGUAAGUGUGGACGAACGAGAAGUUCCACUAAACCGCUUUGCUUCACGGCACCGGUUUGGGAAGGUCUCUAGUAGGCAGAAGCACGAGUCAGGAGACCUGCCUUUUCUUGUAGCGUUUC